GGCCCAGGAAGUAGUGAUAUAUAUGCUCAUACUUGGUCUGUUUUAGGUUCAGCCUAAUUUAGUCCACAAGAAUAUAACAACUCAAAAAAUUAAUUUUAUUAUAUAAUAAUAUUCAUCAUUUCUAAGUAGGUGUGUGCAAAUGGUCGGUUUGGUUCCAAACCAAACUGAACCGAUAAAACCGAAAAUAAAAAAUUUUGAAAACCGAACCGAUUAAUAAGAGAAAGCCGAACCGAACCAAACCGAUAAAU
rnacentral:misc_RNA from 1 species